CGCGGCUUGAACAACAUCAAAACCUAGCGUGCAUCUUUUGACGAAGUAGAGAUUUUGAUACGCAGAAAGUAUGACUACAUUACAAAUUUCGGCAUCGCGUAGGGUUUUCUUAUGCGAAGAGCAUACAGUGAUGUGUGGAAAACAAGUUGUGGCCUCUUAAAUCUUCGUACCACGCUCAAUUUCUACAAACUACCUCUAGAGCCAGCAAUCGUUAGGAUAGAGUUGCCUAAGGUUAUCAUCCAAAAUGAGAAACUCGUUAUAUAAUCUUUUCACUUGGCCACGCGAUUAACAACAAACGCUGGUCUUGGCAGUUCCCGACAUGUCUCGCAGGAUGCUUUUUACGUUGGUCGUGUCUGCAGAAAGAUGAAAUGCAAUAAUUGGUCAACAUGAAAUAUAGAUAUAGCAACGCCGUCGUUGUCCAUUUAAACAAGAUUAAUGCCAUAUCGCAUAUAGAUUCAACACUCCGUAUAAGAGGUAUCAGGGUUCACAGAGCAAACAUGGAGUUACAAUUACUCGAAGGAUUAUAUGAAAAU